rnacentral:rRNA from 1 species
CCAGACUCCUACGGGAGGCAGCAGUGGGGGAUAUUGCACAAUGGGGGGAACCCUGAUGCAGCGACGCCGCGUGAGCGAUGAAGUAUUUCGGUAUGUAAAGCUCUAUCAGCAGGGAAGAAAAUGACGGUACCUGACUAAGAAGCCCCGGCUAACUACGUGCCAGCAGCCGCGGUAAUACGUAGGGGGCAAGCGUUAUCCGGAUUUACUGGGUGUAAAGGGAGCGUAGACGGUCCUGCAAGCCAGAUGUGAAAGCCCGGGGCUCAACCCCGGGACUGCUCUGGAAACUGCGUCGCUGGAGUACGGGAGGGGCAGGCGGAAUUCCUGGUGUAGCGGUGAAAUGCGUAGAUAUCAGGAGGAACACCGGCGGCGAAGGCGGCCUGCUGGACCGUGACUGACGUUGAGGCUCGAGAGCGUGGGGAGCAAACAGGAUUAGAUACCCCCGUAC